GAUGAACGCUGGCGGCGUGCCUAAUACAUGCAAGUCGAGCGAACGGACGAGAAGCUUGCUUCUCUGCUGUUAGCGGCGGACGGGUGAGUAACACGUGGAUAACCUACCUAUCAGACUGGGAUAACUUCGGGAAACCGGAGCUCAUACCGGAUAAUAUUUUGAACCGCAUGGUUCAAAAGUGAAAGACGGUCUUGCUGUCACUUAUAGAUGGAUCCGCGCUGCAUUAGCUAGUUGGUAAGGUAACGGCUUACCAAGGCGACGAUGCAUAGCCGCCCUGCUAGGGUGAUCGGCUACGCUGGAACUGAGACACGGUCCAGACUACUGCGGGAGGCAGCAGUAGGGAAUCUUGCGCAAUGGGCGAAAGCCUGCAGGAGCAACGCCGCGUGAGUGAUGAAGGUCUUCGGAUCGUAAAACUCUGCUAUUAGGUAAGAACAUAUGUGUAAGUAACUGUGCACAUCUUGACGGUACCUAAUCAGAAAGCCACGGCUAACUACGUG
rnacentral:rRNA from 1 species